GGUUAAGCGACUAAGCGUACACGGUGGAUGCCCUGGCAGUCAGAGGCGAUGAAGGACGUGCUAAUCUGCGAAAAGCGACGGCGAGGUGAUAUGAACCUUUGACCCGUCGAUGUCCGAAUGGGGAAACCCAGUGCAAUCCGUUGCACUAUCGUUAACUGAAUACAUAGGUUAACGAGGCGAACCGGGGGAACUGAAACAUCUAAGUACCCCGAGGAAAAGAAAUCAACCGAGAUUCCCCCAGUAGCGGCGAGCGAACGGGGGAGCAGCCCGGAGUCUGAAUCAGCUUGUGUGUUAGUGGAAGCGUCUGGAAAGUCGCACGGUACAGGGUGACAGUCCCGUACACGAAAAUGCACAGGUUGUGAACUCGAAGAGUAGGGCGGGACACGUGGUAUCCUGUCUGAAUAUGGGGGGACCAUCCUCCAAGGCUAAAUACUCCUGACUGACCGAUAGUGAACCAGUACCGUGAGGGAAAGGCGAAAAGAACCCCGGCGAGGGGAGUGAAAAAGAACCUGAAACCGUGUACGUACAAGCAGUGGGAGCACCUUCGGGUGUGACUGCGUACCUUUUGUAUAAUGGGUCAGCGACUUAUAUUCUGUAGCAAGGUUAACCGUAUAGGGGAGCCGCAGGGAAACCGAGUCUUAACUGGGCGUUAAGUUGCAGGGUAUAGACCCGAAACCCGGUGAUCUAGCCAUGGGCAGGUUGAAGGUUGGGUAACACUAACUGGAGGACCGAACCGACUAAUGUUGAAAAAUUAGCGGAUGACCUGUGGCUGGGGGUGAAAGGCCAAUCAAACCGGGAGAUAGCUGGUUCUCCCCGAAAGCUAUUUAGGUAGCGCCUCGUGAACUCAUCUUCGGGGGUAGAGCACUGUUUCGGCUAGGGGGCCAUCCCGGCUUACCAACCCGAUGCAAACUACGAAUACCGAAGAAUGUUAUCACGGGAGACACACGGCGGGUGCUAACGUCCGUCGUGAAGAGGGAAACAACCCAGACCGCCAGCUAAGGUCCCAAAGUCAUGGUUAAGUGGGAAACGAUGUGGGAAGGCACAGACAGCCAGGAUGUUGGCUUAGAAGCAGCCAUCAUUUAAAGAAAGCGUAAUAGCUCACUGGUCGAGUCGGCCUGCGCGGAAGAUGUAACGGGGCUAAACCAUGCACCGAAGCUGCGGCAGCGACACUUAGGUGUUGUUGGGUAGGGGAGCGUUCUGUAAGCCGUUGAAGGUGUGCUGUGAGGCAUGCUGGAGGUAUCAGAAGUGCGAAUGCUGACAUAAGUAACGAUAAAGCGGGUGAAAAGCCCGCUCGCCGGAAGACCAAGGGUUCCUGUCCAACGUUAAUCGGGGCAGGGUGAGUCGACCCCUAAGGCGAGGCCGAAAGGCGUAGUCGAUGGGAAACAGGUUAAUAUUCCUGUACUUGGUGUUACUGCGAAGGGGGGACGGAGAAGGCUAUGUCAGCCGGGCGACGGUUGUCCCGGUUUAAGCGUGUAGGUGUGUGUUCCAGGCAAAUCCGGUUCACUUUAACACUGAGGCGUGAUGACGAGGCACUACGGUGCUGAAGUGAUAAAUGCCCUGCUUCCAGGAAAAGCCUCUAAGCAUCAGGUAACACGAAAUCGUACCCCAAACCGACACAGGUGGUCAGGUAGAGAAUACCAAGGCGCUUGAGAGAACUCGGGUGAAGGAACUAGGCAAAAUGGUGCCGUAACUUCGGGAGAAGGCACGCUGAUAUGUAGGUGAAGCCCCUGCGGGCGGAGCUGAAAUCAGUCGAAGAUACCAGCUGGCUGCAACUGUUUAUUAAAAACACAGCACUGUGCAAACACGAAAGUGGACGUAUACGGUGUGACGCCUGCCCGGUGCCGGAAGGUUAAUUGAUGGGGUUAGCGGCAACGCGAAGCUCUUGAUCGAAGCCCCGGUAAACGGCGGCCGUAACUAUAACGGUCCUAAGGUAGCGAAAUUCCUUGUCGGGUAAGUUCCGACCUGCACGAAUGGCGUAAUGAUGGCCAGGCUGUCUCCACCCGAGACUCAGUGAAAUUGAACUCGCUGUGAAGAUGCAGUGUACCCGCGGCAAGACGGAAAGACCCCGUGAACCUUUACUAUAGCUUGACACUGAACACUGGUCCUUGAUGUGUAGGAUAGGUGGGAGGCUUUGAAGCGUGGACGCCAGUCUGCGUGGAGCCAUCCUUGAAAUACCACCCUUUAAUGGCUGGUGUUCUAACGUGGACCCGUGAUCCGGGUUGCGGACAGUGUCUGGUGGGUAGUUUGACUGGGGCGGUCUCCUCCCAAAGAGUAACGGAGGAGCACGAAGGUUAGCUAAUCCUGGUCGGACAUCAGGAGGUUAGUGCAAUGGCAUAAGCUAGCUUGACUGCGAGAGUGACGGCUCGAGCAGGUGCGAAAGCAGGUCAUAGUGAUCCGGUGGUUCUGAAUGGAAGGGCCAUCGCUCAACGGAUAAAAGGUACUCCGGGGAUAACAGGCUGAUACCGCCCAAGAGUUCAUAUCGACGGCGGUGUUUGGCACCUCGAUGUCGGCUCAUCACAUCCUGGGGCUGAAGUAGGUCCCAAGGGUAUGGCUGUUCGCCAUUUAAAGUGGUACGCGAGCUGGGUUUAGAACGUCGUGAGACAGUUCGGUCCCUAUCUGCCGUGGGCGCUGGAGAAUUGAGGGGGGCUGCUCCUAGUACGAGAGGACCGGAGUGGACGCAUCACUGGUGUUCGGGUUGUCAUGCCAAUGGCACUGCCCGGUAGCUAAAUGCGGAAGAGAUAAGUGCUGAAAGCAUCUAAGCACGAAACUUGCCCCGAGAUGAGUUCUCCCUGAGACUUUAAGUCUCCUGAAGGAACGUUGAAGACGACGACGUUGAUAGGCCGGGUGUGUAAGCGCAGCGAUGCGUUGAGCUAACCGGUACUAAUGAACCGUGAGGCUUAACCUU
rnacentral:rRNA from 1 species